UGACAUGGAGAUGCUCUUGGCCUGGAAUC
rnacentral:piRNA from 1 species